rnacentral:rRNA from 1 species
AUUGAACGCUGGCGGCAGGCCUAACACAUGCAAGUCGAGCGCGAAAGUCUUCGGAUGAGUAAAGCGGCGGACGGGUGAGUAACGCGUGGGAAUCUGCCUAGUAGUGGGGGACAACGUUCCGAAAGGAACGCUAAUACCGCAUACGUCCUACGGGGGAAAGGGGGGGAUCUUCGGACCUCUCGCUAUUAGAUGAGCCCGCGUCGGAUUAGCUAGUUGGUAGGGUAAAGGCCUACCAAGGCGACGAUCCGUAACUGGUCUGAGAGGAUGAUCAGUCACACUGGAACUGAGACACGGUCCAGACUCCUACGGGAGGCAGCAGUGGGGAAUAUUGGGACAAUGGGGGCAACCCUGAUCCAGCCAUGCCGCGUGUGUGAAGAAGGCCUUAAGGGUUGUAAAGCACUUUUGCCAGGGAAGAUGAUGACUGUACCUGGAGAAUAAGCCCCGGCUAACUUCGUGCCAGCAGCCGCGGUAAU